rnacentral:rRNA from 1 species
GAUGAACGCUGGCGGCGUGCUUAACACAUGCAAGUCGAACGGGAAACCUUUUAUUGAAGCUUCGGCAGAUUUAGCUGGUUUCUAGUGGCGGACGGGUGAGUAACGCGUGGGUAACCUGCCUUAUACAGGGGGAUAACAACCAGAAAUGGUUGCUAAUACCGCAUAAGCGCACAGGACCGCAUGGUCCGGUGUGAAAAACUCCGGUGGUAUAAGAUGGACCCGCGUUGGAUUAGCUAGUUGGCAGGGUAACGGCCUACCAAGGCGACGAUCCAUAGCCGGCAUGGGAGGGUGAACGGCCACAUUGGGACUGAGACACGGCCCAGACUCCGACGGGAGGCAGCAGUGGGGAAUAUUGCACAAGGGGGCAAACCCUGAUGCAGCGACGCCGCGUGAAGGAAGAAGUAUCUCGGUAUGUAAACUUCUAUCAGCAGGGAAGAUAGUGACGGUACCUGACUAAGAAGCCCCGGCUAACUACGUG